UGGUGGUUACUAUGCUGGAUAUGGACAAGGCUACGAGGCUUAUGGACAAGGGUAUGCACAGCCUCAAGACCCUAACAUGUAUGGUUAUGGAGCCUAUGCUGGUUAUCCCAACUACCAACAACCAGCAGCGGCACCGCAGCCACCGCCACCGCAACAGGUGAAGUCCCCUAUCUAUAUAAGCGCAAAUCUUAGCUCUUGAUAAUCUUAUUAGUACUUAAUACCACCAGCAGCCUGGCUAAUCUAAAACUUUCCAUUUCUGCAGUGAGCCCUCCUCGUGGGUCGUCCAGACAGAUGAGAACCCCUGUUUGAAGGCACUGUCAAGGCUAAUGUUGUAGCACCUGUCGAUAGAGAGAGACGGUUCCUGGACUCCGGAUUUUGAUUGCCCCAUGGCAAGGUCUAUUGUUAUGUUAUUAUGCACUAUAUUAUGAUCAGCUGUUGUCCGUCCCGCUGUGGUGAUCCUUUGGAUAUGUACUUGGAAACUUAGCUUUGUUUCGCCGCAUGCCCUUGUCUACUGUUAUUUACCGUUGCUAUCUUCUGCUGUUAAAUUAUAUACUAUUUGUACCGUUUGCUUCCUGCUGCAUUUGUUUAUGUUGUUGCUUUGUG
rnacentral:lncRNA from 1 species